GACGUAGGGGGCAAGCGUUGUUCGGAAUUAUUGGGCGUAAAGCGCUCGUAGGCGGGAUUGGAAGUCCGUGUUGAAAGACCUCGGCUCAACUGAGGGACCGGCUCGGAUACUCUAAUUCUUGAGGCAAUCAGAGGAUGAUGGAAUUCCCGGUGUAGCGGUGAAAUGCGUAGAUAUCAGGAGGAACACCUGCGGUGUAGACGGCUUUCUGGACCAUUGCUGACGCUGAGACACGAAAGCGUGGGUAGCAAACAGG
rnacentral:rRNA from 1 species